rnacentral:rRNA from 1 species
GACGAACGCUGGCGGCGUGCCUAAUACAUGCAAGUCGAACGAGAGCGACCGGUGCUUGCACUGGUCAAUCUAGUGGCGAACGGGUGAGUAACACGUGGGUAACCUGCCCAUCAGAGGGGGAUAACAUCUGGAAACGGAUGCUAAAACCGCAUAGGUCUUCGAACCGCAUGGUUUGAAGAGGAAAAGAGGCGCAAGCUUCUGCUGAUGGAUGGACCCGCGGUGCAUUAGCUAGUUGGUGAGGUAACGGCUCACCAAGGCCGUGAUGCAUAGCCGACCUGAGAGGGUGAUCGGCCACAUUGGGACUGAGACACGGCCCAAACUCCUACGGGAGGCAGCAGUAGGGAAUCUUCCGCAAUGGACGCAAGUCUGACGGAGCAACGCCGCGUGAGUGAAGAAGGUUUUCGGAUCGUAAAACUCUGUUGUUAGAGAAGAACAAGUGCUAGAGUAACUGUUAGCGCCUUGACGGUAUCUAACCAGAAAGCCACGGCUAACUACGUG